rnacentral:rRNA from 1 species
ACACAGUACCGUGAGGGAAAGUUGCAAAGAACUUUGAAGAGAGAGUUCAAGAGUGCGUGAAACCGUUCGGAGGUAAACGGGUGGGAGCGCGAAGGUCGAACGGAUGGGGAGGGAUUCAACUUGGCGUGAUGGCGUCUCCCUUGGCCGGGUUGGCUCGAGUCGAGCGGCGGUUUUGCCGUCGUUGGGUCUCGGUCACCGGUUGGGAGCUUGCAGCCGUCUCCGCCUUGUGCAUUUCCCUAUUCCCCCUCUCCUAGUAGGACGCCGUGACCGGCUGCUGAGGGGAGCCCAGGAGCUGGCGGGGGUAGCUGCGCGGACGAGUGUGGGAUUCGUUCCCUGCGUUCGGUCUGUCUGCCCCCCGCCGUGCAGCGGGUGCUCUCUCCGGCCGAGGAAUGCUGAAGCGAGAUGUUGGAGCCUUUAUUGGGUCCACCUCGUCCAAGCGCGUGCCCACCAAACAACUGUGGGUGCGGGUCGAAAGAGUCCAACGGGUGGCGGUGAGCGGCAUGUUGGCCAGCCUCGUGCUGUGUUCCAGCGGUCGUCUCGCGUCUGCUGCCGUCUGUCAGGGCGCUGACUCCCGCAUCUAUAGGGCGCUGGGGGUCGACGGCGAGUAGGUCGGUUUCCCACCCGACCCGUCUUGAAACACGGACCAAGAAGUCUAACGUGUGGGCGAGUCUUCGGGGACUUUGUGAACCCUUUGAAGGCGUAAUAAAAGUGAAGGUCCCGUGUCGGAGCUGGUUUUUCCGGAUCUGGCCGGGGCUGUAGUGGGAUCCCCCGUCUAAGGGCGGGGGCGCACCACUGGCCCGUCCUAUGACCGCUUUGCCGGUCGGGCGGAGCAAGAGCCCACGCGUUGGGACCCGAAAGAUGGUGAACUAUGCCUGGGCAGGACGAGGCCAGAGGAAACUCUGGUGGAAGUCCGCAGCGGUUCUGACGUGCAAUCGAUCGUCGGACCUGGGUAUAGGGGCG